rnacentral:rRNA from 1 species
UACGGGGGGGGCAAGCGUUGUCCGGAUUUACUGGGCGUAAAGAGCGCGCAGGCGGUUGUGCAAGUCGCGUGUGAAAGCCCCCGGCUCAACCGGGGAAUUGCCUGGGAUACCGCCGGCCUGGAGGGGGGUAGGGGCGCCUGGAACACCGGGUGGAGCGGUGAAAUGCGUUGAUAUCCGGUGGAACACCUGUGGCGAAAGCGGCGCACUGGACCAUAACUGACGCUGAUGCGCGAAAGCUAGGGGAGCAAACAGG